rnacentral:lncRNA from 1 species
CCCAGGCUGGUCUCAAGUGAUCCUCACACCUCAGCCUCCUAAAGUGCUGGGAUUACAGGUGUGAGCCACCACACCCAGCUAAAUACUGCCUUUUAAUAAUACAAUCCUUUCAUAAAUAAACGAUUAGGUAUAAUGGGAAAAAAUCCUCCAAGCUGUACAUACUGAAAUACUUGAAUCCAAUAAUUUAGAAAUGAUAUCUUACAUUUCAUUUAGCUAACUAGACCCUAACUAGAAUCCUGGGUGUACUUCAAGGUUAUACAUUUAAAAUAGUAUCAUACUCAAUGUGUGGAGUAGAACAGCAUCUGACUCCUUAGGCAAUCAUGGACACUCCCUUCUCUAAUCCUCUUGUCCUUAUACAUACCCUCCGCUAUAGGUCCUUUACAUAUUAUUACACAUUUAUACAUACUAUUGUAAACUUUUUGUUUUAUAUAUCUAGCUCCUCACUGUAUUGUAUUUUUCUGUAUUCAGAAACCCUAUCUUUUUUGGAGAGGAUGUUUGUCUUAAAUAAAGAAAAGAAAAAUUAAAAGAAAACAAAAUAUAUUAAAAAAGAAACCCCAUAUAUCUCUAUGAUCUCAGAAUCUAGAAUGGCACCUAGCACUUGUAAAGUAUUCAUAUCAGUGAAAAUUAUUGCCUACAUUAAUCAGAAAUGUGUUAAUAAAAACAUCGGAUAGAUUACAGAAAAAAGGAGAAGGCUGAGAAAAAAGUAGUAUACACUUGGAUAUGGUUUGUCCUUUCAGUCGUAUCACAUACAUUUGGUAAAUAACUAGACUUUAAUAUGCCACUCUCCAGUGGUUCUAAAGAGCUUAGGUAAUUAGGCUUAUACAUAUUAAAAAACCCUAGAUCACUUGCUGUAGAGUGAAUCUUGGCAGGAGAGGGUCCCUUUGAGAAUUUACGCAUGGAUCCUAUCUCAAAGAAUGGUAGCCACAAAUUUUUGCAUUAAGUGAGUUGUGGAGCCCCAGAAAGUCUUCCUAUGGAUCUUAGAAUAAGAACCUCGGAGAAGACUUAUCUAUCUAGUUGUUUUCAAUAGACUGACACCUAUACAGUAGGUAAGUAGUAGCUAUGCAGGCAAUGGUUAAAACUGGAAUUUAAAGCUCUCAAUCCAAAAUAAAGGUUCACAGGAAUUCUCGUUCACACCUAGGCUCAAGACAUACUUACUUCAAAGGCAGAAUAAUCCGGGGCUGUCAGGUAGCUCAGGUAGUUCUUAGUAGGUCGGUAUCUGCGAGUUUCCUCCUCCACCAGCGCUGCAGCCUAAGAAAGAGAAUAGGGACCAGGGUAGAAGUGGCAAAUUGUAACAUGUUUCUUUCAGUACCGAGCCAGCUAGCAGUGAGUCAGCUACAAAGACACCCCGCACUCACCGCUUCCCGCACACCAGGGGCUUCAUAACCUUGAUCAAAAUACGGCAGCGCAUCCACCACAACCUCUCCAGCCACCAAACCUGUGCCCGCCAUUCUGAGGACCUCAGGUUUGCCUGCGUUUUCUGCGUCUGCGUAAACUCAGUUAUAUUUAAUUACGCCGGCGCCUGACACUGAUGUAAUCACGUUCCCUCCGUAUUGACGUUAGUGCAUGCUCAGUUGCUAAUUUUGAAGGCGGGUCCGCCCGGUAUCUAGAAAUUGCCGGGCUGGUUUGUUUUGGGCGGACGUGACGUAACGUCUUGGCUUGUCUGCGUCAGCGAAAGGCCUCAAUUUCCUGUCCUCUGCUUACUGCCCCUUUUUUUGCCUGCGAAUGGCGGCGAUUUGAAGUUGGGGCUUUUCGUUUCCUCCAAAACAUUGAUAUCUGGAAAGGGAGCCCCUUAACACUUUUGGAGGGAACUGGCUGCAGCAUUUGGCGGGGAGAGAUAAACUGGUUUCCCACCUCUGCUUACUCCCACCUUCUCCCCUUAAUCUUCUCUUCCUCUGUGCGAGACUUUUUUCCUUUUUUAUUGUAGACACAGGGUCUUUGUUCUGCUGCCCAGGUUGGAGUGCAGUGGCGUGAUCAUAGCUCACUGCAGCCUCAACCCCCCGGGCCCAAGCGAUCCUUCCACCUCAGCCUCCCGAGUAGCUGGGCCUAGAGGUGCACACCACCAUGCCUGGCUAAUUUUUAAUUUUUUUUGUAGAGAUGGAGCCUUUCUAUGUUGCCAAGCCUAGCCUCGAACUCCUGGCCUCCCAAAAUGUGGGGAAUACAGGCGUGAGCCACUGCACCCCGGGUCAUUCCUCUUUUACUUCCUUGCUGUACCCCAACUAUCCUUCCCCCUCGGUGCCCUUAAAACCUUUGCAUUGGGUAAGUACAUUUUUUAAAGAGACUCUAGAAUUGGGCGCCAGUCUCCAAUUAAAAUUGUGAAGCUUUAUGGUCUGCGUAUCAAAAGGAACCUCAGUUCCUUAAAAAUCCUGUCAUUUUGCCUUUAGGACUUAACGGUAAUAGAAUGGCAUUCCUCACUGCCUCCGAACCACUCAAGCUGCUGCCCAUGCACUCUCUUCUGCAUGGCUCCUGGACUAAGCAGCCUCCCUUUGAUUAAGCAGGUAAAAACCAAAUAAAGUUGUCAGACUAUAUGCCCUGCCCAGUGUGCAGUCUAGACCCAGCCUUUGUCUGCCAAGAGCCUGGAAAUGUUGACCUCCGUUAUUAAGCCUGGUCAGUCUAAGACUAAUUCUUAUUACCGAAGUACCAUUAGGUAAAUGUGCUAGCUAUAGAUUUAAGUGACAUAAAAGAUCUUAAAGAAUUCUCCAAGGGAUCUGUGGGGGGUUUAUGUAUUUAUUCAUUAAAAGAUCUGUAAACAACAUUUUAUACAAAUCUUGAUUCUUUUACAAAAAUAUCCAGAAUUCCUAACACUUUACAGAAAACACAACAGACCUAAGGAAAUGAAGCAGCUUCAGGCUGCGAGGAUGAAGACACCAUUGCUGAAGCAAAGGUCUCCUCCUAGAGGGAUAGCCAGGAUCCAUCACAGUAAACCCUUUUACCCCCAUUUUAUAAACAUCCAAUUAUUAACUGUUCCUGCUGGGUUGGAGUGUAAGAAGAGACCAAAUGGAGAGAUGUCUAGUAGAAGCCCCACUGGGGGUAACCUGCUUAACAUUAAAAAAAAGACAGGCUCAGUUCUAUUCCCUGGACCCACAUCUGUAGGAAUUAUAUUAUACAGCACCAGUCUUAAAUGGUGUUCUGCUUCAGAUUCAUGCAUACCUGAAUGGGUUGUAAUGACAAUACUGUACAAGUCAAUAAACUGUAUCACAAUACAACUUACACAGUUUUGUAAGGUUGAAUAAAUACUUUCUGUGCCAGUUAAAACCAUCAGCAGAAACUGAAGAAAACAAACUGACAUUUGCUAUAACAUUAAUCAAUGAAAAGUGCACCAUCUGAACUUGAAUUUGCCCAUGAGUUUGAAAACACACACACACACACACACACACACACACAGGCCGGGUGCAGUGACUCAUGCCUGUAAUCCCAGCACUUUGGGAGGCCAAGGUGGGCAGAUCAACGAGGUCAGGAGUUCGAGACCAGCUUGACCAAUAUGGUGAAACCCCAUCUCUACUAAAAAUACAAAAAUUAGCUUGGCGUGGUGGCACAUGCCUAUAAUCCCAGCUACUCAGGAGGCUGAGGCAGGAGAAUUGCCUGAACCCGGGAGGCAGAGGUUGCAGUGAGCCGAGCUUGCGCCACUGCACUCCAGCCUGAGUGACAGAGGGAGACUCCGUCUCAAAAAAAAAAAAAAAAAAUCAGAUAUUUACUGCUCAGAGGAUGAUUCACACACUCUGUUUUGGCUGCCAGGAAACUACUGCAUAUAUGUCUGGACAUGCAGCUCUCUGCCGCUCCCCUAAGAAUAUUCCAUCAUAAGAACCAUACUGUUUUGCCUCACUCCACUAUGGGAGACUUUAAAUGCUGUCAAACAUCUGACAGUGUUUAAUUCUGACUGUUUAAUUCUCCAAACCUCAACAGGCUCUGAAAAUAAGGAAAUCAUCUACAAAAUGGAACUUCAUGUGGGAAAAAACAUGCUUAGUCACAAAGGUAGGUGCCACUCCACCUAACCCAUGAUCAUCACAACAACGGGAGCAGCCCCAUUGACU